UAUAAUUUUUUAUAUAUAUAUGUACAUAUAUAUUAAAGUUAUAAAAUAAUUCUUUUAUUUCAAAAAGUAAGUGGGCCCCACUAAUAUAUUAAAAACAUCACAAAGGCCAUAAGGCCAUUACACAGACUCAUUUCUCUCUCUCUAUUCUAUCUCUCUAUAACAUUGGUUUUUCUUAUUCUUUUCACCAUUCAAAGUUUGAUCCCUCCUUUAGCUUUGAGAUUUUGGUAGAACCUUGUGAAACAAAGUUGGAGAGCUCGUCGAGGCCGUCAAUUUGAUAGGAGCCAAGCACAAUUUAGCCAAGCCUAGGGAUUUCAAAAUUAGGGCUUAAAUUGGGGGGUUUUCUUUCAAUUGAGGUUGUAGAGGGACUUUUUCUGCGGAGGUCAUGCCGAAAUUUUAUAUUUUUAUUAUUAUUUUUGGUAUCUUUUCGGGUCGUUACAAACCCAAUUACGGGUGACCAUUUAUUUUGUGAUCAAUUAUUGGCUAUUCCUCAAUCUUACAGCCUGAUGCCAAGGCAGUCAUGGGAAUGAGUUCAUGUCUGUUAGAAGUGGCAGUGUUCUUGGAUGACAUGGAAAGCUAUCUGAUGCAGAAUAGAGGCUUAGCUCUAGCAUGUGUGCCAACAGAAUGUAAUAUUGUUGCUUAUCCAUUGAGGAAAUUUGUUGUUAGGAGGAAAAUCACUUGCAUUUUGGUGUUCAUUUUCCUUCUUGAUUGAUGGAAGUUGUUGACGAGAAUUGUACAAUCUAAUUCCAAAGUAAUUAAAUUUCUUCUGAUA